GCAUUGCUGACGAGUCCCAAAUGAGACGAAAGAGCUGUCCAGUGC
rfam:Echinostoma caproni strain Egypt genome assembly, scaffold: ECPE_scaffold0009048